GGGAGGGUAUCCGAGCUGACCGGGGAGGUGGGGGUGUCCAGGCAAGCCUUCUUGAGCGAGUUCUGCAGGAGGCCGAGGAAGGAGGGCCAGCGGCCUUCCCACAGUGACUGUUCCCCAGUACCUGGCGGCCCUGGGCAGACCAGCAGUAGCGCUCCUUUUGCACCAGGGGGCAGUGUUUGCCCUGCAAGUCUCCCUGCCCUCAGCCGGCUGGGACCCGGCAGCCGCUGCGGGGCUGCUGACCACUCACCCCGGGCCACCCCGUCCUGCCUCUUCCCCUGCAGACCCCGAUCAGCCCUCCAGCGUCUUUCUCUGAGCCUCCUCCGCGUCCCAGUCCACACGUCCCCUCAGCCCACGCAGCGCCAGUUGUCCCGCUUGCCGCUGUCCCACCCCCUCCCCGCCGCCUGCCGCCUUAAACCGAGGGUUGCCAGGGGCGAUGCGGAGCCACGACGCCGCUCAGGGUGGGAGCGUCGCGCUGCUUCUGCCCUGCCUUCGGUAUUCUCGCCCUCCUUUCUUCUUCAUUGUUUCUCGUUUCUCCCUUCGGCUCCCCCUACUCAGAAAUCUCAGCCUCCGUCUGUUCUCUCGGGCGCUUUGAUAGCAGCCGUUACAGCCCUGAAGUCAGGUGGGGUCUCUUUCUUCUCUCCCCCUUGGCCACCAGCCCUGGGGCUCCCAUGGGACACGUGUAGGACCGCGCAGCGCAGAGUUGCCUGGAAGGAAGGCUGCCGGAGAUCGGCCCCCUCCAUCAGGGGCUCCCUUCCGCCGCAGGUGGAGUCCUCCACCAAGAAUUCUUUCUCUCCAGUUCUGACCUGCUUUUGCUGGCGGCUGCCCAGGCCGGCUGGGGGCAGCGGGUUGAGCCUGCUGGGUGCUAGUAUUGGGCUGCCAGCAGGAAGCAGAUGCAUAGGAGCCUCGUUGGUUAACCUGGAGCUCCGGGGGCCUGUUUCCAAGUCCCCUCUCCUCUCUCGCCUCCUCUGGCUCCUCCCCAGCACGCAUGUGAGAUGGAUGUGCUGA
rnacentral:lncRNA from 1 species